GUGGGGAAUAUUGCACAAUGGGCGCAAGCCUGAUGCAGCGACGCCGCGUGAGGGAUGACGGCCUUCGGGUUGUAAACCUCUUUCAAUAGGGACGAAGCGCAAGUGACGGUACCUAUAGAAGAAGCACCGGCCAACUACGUGCCAGCAGCCGCGGUAAUACGUAGGGUGCGAGCGUUGUCCGGAAUUACUGGGCGUAAAGAGCUCGUAGGUGGUUUGUCGCGUUGUUCGUGAAAACUCACAGCUUAACUGUGGGCGUGCGGGCGAUACGGGCAGACUAGAGUACUGCAGGGGAGACUGGAAUUCCUGGUGUAGCGGUGGAAUGCGCAGAUAUCAGGAGGAACACCGGUGGCGAAGGCGGGUCUCUGGGCAGUAACUGACGCUGAGGAGCGAAAGCGUGGGGAGCGAACAGGA
rnacentral:rRNA from 1 species